rnacentral:rRNA from 1 species
UACGAGGGGUGCAAGCGUUGCUCGGAAUUAUUGGGCGUAAAGGGUUGGUAGGUGGUCUUGUUUGUCUCGGGUGAAAGCCCAGGGCUUAACCCUGGAAGUGCCCGAGAAACGGCAAGACUAGAAUCUUGGAGAGGCGAGCGGAAUUCCCGGUGUAGCGGUGAAAUGCGUAGAGAUCGGGAGGAACACCAGAGGCGAAGGCGGCUCGCUGGACAAGUAUUGACACUGAACAACGAAAGCGUGGGGAGCAAACAGGAUUAGAUACCCUGGUAGUCCACGCUGUAAACGAUGGGUACUAGCUUUGGUGGGUCUUGACCCCCGCCGAAGCGGAGCUAACGCACUAAGUACCCCGCCUGGGAAGUACGGUCGCAAGACUAAA